AUGCCACAUGGGCGAUGCUGCGAUGCUCCCGCCGGCCGCGCCGUGGAGCGCCCGGAGCCCCGCGCAGGCACCGCGCACCGCGGGGGGAGCCGGAGGGGAGGGAGAGGGCGAAAGAAAAGCCCUAAAAAAAAGCGAGGAGGGCUGCUCGACGCCGUGACAGGUUGGAGGGGGUGGGUUUUUAUCCCCGGGGAUGGAGGGGGAGGGAAAGGGAACGGCUUCCCGAGGAGGCAGCACUCCCCCGGGUGGAGGCUCCUCCGUGCCGGGGGAUGCGGAGAUGCCCGGGCAGGGUACGGCGGGGCUCCCCUGGGGUUUAUUCCCCUCUGUCCUCGGCUGGCUCAGCUCUGGGUGCGUGUGUUGGGGGGUCUGCCGAGGGUGGGAGAGCUCCAGGGGUGCGGGCAGUGUCAGGAGGCCUCGGGCCGGGGCAGCCGGGGCUGCAGUGUGUGUGUGUGUGUGUGUGUGCGUGUGUCAGGCCCUGCGGCUCAGCCCUGGAGCCGCUCGGCACCCACAGGAAUGUGGCUCCUCUCGGCUCCCCGAGCUGCCCCGGCUCCACAUGGAAGUAGCCGCCAGGAAAAGAGAAGGGAGGGGAAGAGAGAGAGGGGAAAGAAAAAAAAAAAGAAAAGAAAGGAAAAAAAAAAAAAAAGAAAAAAAAGCCCCGAGCCAGCAAUCCGCCGAGCCCAAACCCAGCGUCAGACAAAGGACAGUUCAUCCCAUCCCCUUCCCGGGGAGGCCCGGACAAGCCAGGCUCCCUCCGGCCGCCGCCGGAGCCCCGGGGUGCGCCCGGCCGGGGGCAGGCGCAGGGGGGAGCGGGGCUGGGGGGGUCCGGAGCAUCCCCGGGGGCUGGCGGCCGGACACCUCGCGUGUGCUCACCGGGUCUGGCUGCCCUCCCCCGGGACGCCGUGCCAGGCUCCUGCCCCUCUAUAUGGGAAGAAAUAUGAGGUGGAGAGGGGGCCACGGGGAAACCGAGCCGAGGCUGGAGGGGGGCGAGGGGAGCGGUGCCGGAGCCGGGGCUCCCCGGAGGGGCAAAUCCCCAGCUCUGGCCGCAGCCCGCUGCCCCGCAGCCCUUCCUGA
rnacentral:lncRNA from 1 species